GGGAAGAGCCCAUCGCCGAAUCCCCGGCCUUGACGGUCGCGGGAAAUGUGGCGUUUGGGAGUGAGCGUGCCAGGACUGAYGGCUGCGGCAAGUCCCCCUGACCGGGGCCUGUCCGAAGCGGGUGCGAGGCCCAUAGCCGCGGCUUUCGUCUUGGAUGCGAUCUCCUGGGAGUCGGGUUGCUUGGGAGUGCAGCCCUAAGCAGGUGGUAAACUCCACCUAAGGCUAAAUACUGCCGUGAGACCGAUAGCAAACAAGUACCGUGAGGGAAAGUUGCAAAGAACUUUGAAGAGAGAGUUCAAGAGUACGUGAAACUGCUCAGAGGUAAACGGGUGGGCCCUCGAAAUCCUGUGGCGAGAGGAUUCAGUCUGGUUCGGUGGUCCCUGUCGUUGGAUAAUUUGAUUCCGGACUCUCCGAGCGGGAGGCCUUCCGACGCGGUGGACUUCCGUCGAUCCAGACGCAUUUGUCUCUCGUCCGAUGGACGCUGCAGCCGGUCUGGCAGCGCACGCGUGACGGCCUGAAGGUCGGAUACUGGCAGGUGGCCGGUGGUUCGCCUCGUGCGGACCGUCGGUUUUUGGCCGAUCCGAUAGUGGCUCGUCGCCAGACCGUGGCGUCGCGAGUCCCCUUGUGGGAUUCCUCGUCUCCACCCCUUCGGUAGCGGGACUGGCUAUGGCAAGGGCCUGUCGCACUCGUCCGUCGCACUCCCCACGAGUGGGCGGAUGGUCGAUGGGCCCCGUUGGCCGUGGCGGACCCGUUGGGGUUUAGCUGGAGGCUCGCAGCGAGUAGGUCGGUCACCCACCCGACCCGUCUUGAAACACGGACCAAGGAGUCUAACAUGUGCGCGAGUCAAUGGGUCUUGAACAGGCCCAGGGGCGCAAUGAAAGCAAAGGUCGUCCGAGCGUCGACCGAGUCGGGAUCCCCCACGUCAAAAGGGGGGCGCACCGACGACCUGUUCCAUCCGGCUUGCCGGCGGGGCAGAGUUUGAGCGUACACGUUGGGACCCGAAAGAUGGUGAACUAUGCCCGGACAGGAUGAGGCCAGAGGAAACUCUGG
rnacentral:rRNA from 1 species